rnacentral:rRNA from 1 species
AGUGAACGCUGGCGGUAGGCCUAACACAUGCAAGUCGAACGGCAGCACAGUAAGAGCUUGCUCUUCCGGGUGGCGAGUGGCGGACGGGUGAGGAAUACAUCGGAAUCUACUUUUUCGUGGGGGAUAACGUAGGGAAACUUACGCUAAUACCGCAUACGACCUACGGGUGAAAGCAGGGGACCUUCGGACCUUGCGCGAUUGAAUGAGCCGAUGUCGGAUUAGCUAGUUGGCGGGGUAAAGGCCCACCAAGGCGACGAUCCGUAGCUGGUCUGAGAGGAUGAUCAGCCACACUGGAACUGAGACACGGUCCAGACCCCUACGGGAGGCAGCAGUGGGGAAUAUUGGACAAUGGGCGCAAGCCUGAUCCAGCCAUACCGCGUGGGUGAAGAAGGCCUUCGGGUUGUAAAGCCCUUUUGUUGGGAAAGAAAAGCAGCAGGCUAAUACCCCGCUGUUCUGACGGUACCCAAAGAAUAAGCACCGGCUAACUUCGUG